GGCCCUCUGGUGUAAUGGCAGCACAACAGCCUUUGGAGCUGUUGGUCCAGGUUCGAAUCCUGGGAGGGCUA
rnacentral:tRNA from 1 species